AAUAGAUACCCGGGUAGUCCCAGCCGUAAACGAUGCUCGCUAGGUGUCAGGCAUGGCGCGACCGUGUCUGGUGCCGCAGGGAAGCCGUGAAGCGAGCCACCUGGGAAGUACGGCCGCAAGGCUGAAACUUAAAGGAAUUGGCGGGGGAGCACAACAACGGGUGGAGCCUGCGGUUUAAUUGGACUCAACGCCGGACAACUCACCGGGGACGACAGCAAUAUGUAGGCCAGGCUAAAGACCUUGCCUGAAUCGCUGAGAGGAGGUGCAUGGCCGUCGCCAGUUCGUACUGUGAAGCAUCCUGUUAAGUCAGGCAACGAGCGAGACCCGUGCCCACUGUUACCAGCAUGUCCUCCGGGACGAUGGGUACUCUGUGGGGACCGCCGAUGUUAAAUCGGAGGAAGGUGCGGGCUACGGUAGGUCAGUAUGCCCCGAAUUUCCCGGGCUACACGCGGGCUACAAUGAAUGAGACAAUGGGUCCCUACCCCGAGAGGGGUUGGUAAUCUCCAAACCCAUCCGUAGUUCGGAUCGAGGGCUGUAACUCGCCU
rnacentral:rRNA from 1 species